CAAUGUGUUUCAGAGUGUAGU
rnacentral:miRNA from 12 species